rnacentral:rRNA from 1 species
GAUGAACGCUGGCGGCGUGCCUAAUACAUGCAAGUCGAGCGAACGGACGAGGGGCUUGCUCCUCUGACGUUAGCGGCGGACGGGUGAGUAACACGUGGAUAACCUACCUAUAAGACUGGGAUAACUUCGGGAAACCGGAGCUAAUACCGGAUAAUAUAUUGAACCGCAUGGUUCAAUAGUGAAAGACGGUUUUGCUGUCACUUAUAGAUGGAUCCGCGCCGCAUUAGCUAGUUGGUAAGGUAACGGCUUACCAAGGCAACGAUGCGUAGCCGACCUGAGAGGGUGAUCGGCCACACUGGAACUGAGACACGGUCCAGACUCCUACGGGAGGCAGCAGUAGGGAAUCUUCCGCAAUGGGCGAAAGCCUGACGGAGCAACGCCGCGUGAGUGAUGAAGGUCUUCGGAUCGUAAAACUCUGUUAUUAGGGAAGAACAAAUGUGUAAGUAACUAUGCACGUCUUGACGGUACCUAAUCAGAAAGCCACGGCUAACUACGUG